rnacentral:lncRNA from 1 species
GUAUCUAAAUAAUAAAGAUAUAGCCUAUCUUAGAGAGCACGGUCCACCUAUAGAUCACAAUCCAUCUCUUAAAGCUAUAGGCUAAUCUAAAUUAAAUUAGAUUUCAGUGGGUCGGAACAGUUUCACUCUUAUUCGAUAAAGAUCAUUGAUUCAAAAAGAUCCUAUUGGGUUCUCAUACUCCACCAUUGACAUCUAGCAAUAUAUAGUGGCAA